rnacentral:rRNA from 1 species
GACGAACGCUGGCGGCGUGCUUAACACAUGCAAGUCGAGCGAUGAAGCACCUUCGGGUGUGAAUUAGCGGCGAACGGGUGAGGAACACGUGAGAAAUCUGCCUUCAACUCUGGGAUAACUCCGUGAAAACGGGGCUAAUACCGGAUAUGAGCCUUGAUCGCAUGGUCGGGGCUGUAAAAGUUUUUCGGUUGAAGAUGACCUCGCGGCCUAUCAGCUUGUUGGUGAGGUAAUGGCUCACCAAGGCGACGACGGGUAGCCGGCCUGAGAGGGCGACCGGCCACACUGGGACUGAGACACGGCCCAGACUCCUACGGGAGGCAGCAGUGGGGAAUAUUGGGCAAUGGAGGAAACUCUGACCCAGCGACGCCGCGUGC